GAUGAACGCUGGCGGCGUGCCUAAUACAUGCAAGUCGAGCGAACAGACGAGGAGCUUGCUCCUCUGACGUUAGCGGCGGACGGGUGAGUAACACGUGGAUAACCUACCUAUAAGACUUGGAUAACUUCGGGAAACCGGAGCUAAUACCGGAUAAUAUAUUGAACCGCAUGGUUCAAUAGUGAAAGACGGUUUUGCUGUCACUUAUAGAUGGAUCCGCGCCGCAUUAGCUAGUUGGUAAGGUAACGGCUUACCAAGGCAACGAUGCGUAGCCGACCUGAGAGGGUGAUCGGCCACACUGGAACUGAGACACGGUCCAGACUCCUACGGGAGGCAGCAGUAGGGAAUCUUCCGCAAUGGGCGAAAGCUUGACGGAGCAACGCCGCGUGAGUGAUGAAGGUCUUCGGAUCGUAAAACUCUGUUAUUAGGGAAGAACAAAUGUGUAAGUAACUAUGCACGUCUUGACGGUACCUAAUCAGAAAGCCACGGCUAACUACGU
rnacentral:rRNA from 1 species